rnacentral:rRNA from 1 species
UUAGAUCAGAAGCGAGAAUGUUGACAUGAGUAGCGACCAACAGGGUGAGAGACCCUGUCGCCGAAAGUCCAAGGGUUCCUGCUUAAAGCUAAUCUGAGCAGGGUAAGCCGGCCCCUAAGGCGAGGCCGAAAGGCGUAGUCGAUGGGAACCAGGUUAAUAUUCCUGGGCCAGGAGGAUGUGACGGAUCAGAGAGGUUGUCUGCCCUUAUCGGAUUGGGUGGGCAGCUGACUGGUCCCUGGAAAUAGCCCUCCAUCAGACCGUACCCUAAACCGACACAGGUGGACUGGUAGAGUAUACCAAGGCGCUUGAGAGAACCACAUCAAAGGAACUCGGCAAAAUGCCUCCGUAAGUUCGCGAGAAGGAGGCCCCACUCUUGGGCAACCAGGGGUGGGGGGCACAAACUAGGGGGUGGCGACUGUUUACUUAAAACACAGGGCUCUGCGAAGCCGUAAGGCGACGUAUAGGGUCUGACGCCUGCCCGGUGCUGGAAGGUUAAAAGGAGGGGUGCAAGCUCCGAAUUGAAGCCCCAGUAAACGGCGGCCGUAACAAUAACGGUCCUAAGGUAGCGAAAUUCCUUGUCGGGUAAGUUCCGACCUGCACGAAUGGCGUAACGAUCUCCCCGCUGUCUCUGAUGUGGACUCAGCGAAAUUGAACUGUGUGUCAAGAUGCACACUACCCGCGGUUAGACGGAAAGACCCCAUGCACCUUUACUAUAGCUUCGCACUGGCAUCAGGAUUGUGAUGUGCAGGAUAGGUGGUAGGCUUCGAAGCGGGGACGCCAGCCUCCGUGGAGCCUCCCUUGAGAUACCACCCUUCGCACUCUUGAUGUCUAACCGCGGCCCGUUAUCCGGGUCCGGGACCCUGCGUGGUGGGUAGUUUGACUGGGGCGGUCGCCUCCCAAACAGUAACGGAGGCGCGCGAAGGUUGGCUCAGAGCGGUCGGAAAUCGCUCGUUGAGUGCAAUGGCAGAAGCCAGCCUGACUGCAAGACUGACAAGUCGAGCAGAGACGAAAGUCGGCCAUAGUGAUCCGGUGGUCCCAAGUGGGAGGGCCAUCGCUCAACGGGUAAAAGGUACGCUGGGGAUAACAGGCUGAUGAUGCCCAAGAGUCCAUAUCGACGGCAUCGUUUGGCACCUCGAUGUCGGCUCAUCUCAUCCUGGGGCUGGAGCAGGUCCCAAGGGUAUGGCUGUUCGCCAUUUAAAGAGGUACGUGAGCUGGGUUUAGAACGUCGUGAGACAGUUCGGUCCCUAUCUGCCGUGGGUGUAGGAGACUUGCGAAGAGUUGCCCCUAGUACGAGAGGACCGGGGUGAACGAUCCACUGGUGGACCAGUUGUCGUGCCAACGGCAGUGCUGGGUAGCUAUGAUCGGACAGGAUAACCGCUGAAGGCAUCUAAGCGGGAAGCCCCCUUCAAAACUAGGUCUCCCUUGAGGGCCGUGGAAGACCACCACGUCGAUAGGCCGGAGGUGUAAGUGCGGCAACGCAUUCAGCUGACCGGUACUAAUUGCCC